rnacentral:lncRNA from 1 species
AAAUACCAACCACAUAUACCCUACACAUAGCAUAUCAUAACAUAACAGAACAUAGAACAGCCAUGCACUUCGGGUCUACUGUGUGACUGGUCCGCCGCACCGGCCUACAGUCCACCUGGUCCACUCUCCGAGUCCAGACAUAUACAUCGAGUCUGCAGUGUGGUUAGUCCACCCAUAUCUGGCCUUUAACCCACCUAGUCCACUCUCUGANGAGUCUACAGUGUGAUUGGUCCGCCCGCACCGGGCCUUCAAUCCACCUGGUCCACUCUCUGAGUCUACAGUAUGACUGCUCCGCCCGCACCGGGCCUUCAGUCGGCUUGGUCCACUCUCCGAGCCUCGGCACAUCUUGUUCGCCCUCUCGGGGCCUUCAGCCUAUCCGGACCACUCGUUGGGCCUUCGGGACAACCAGUCCGCCCUGGGUAUGUUGGCCUACAGCACAAAGCAGGACCCGCCUCAACCCAACCCCAGUCCAACAACCAUGUGCACAUAAACAUAUAAUCAUAUAUCAAUUCACAACUAAUCAAACCGAUCUUAGCAGAUCACAUACAUAGUACAUCCCUACCAGGAUUCCGACCUAACCGGUCACUAGCAUAGCAUCAUCCUAUAAACCAGGAUACCGACCUUAACCAGGUCUCUAACAUAUACCAUCCUAACUACCAGGAUGCAAACAUAACAAAGCAAUAACAUCACAACAACUACCCGGAUUUCCAUCCGAUAAAGGGCCGGCCUUGGUGCCUUAGACCCUGUUGAUAUAGUGAGGAUAACUCACCUCGCAACUGCUGACUGAAAAGAUAAGAUCACGCUGCUCCAACCUCCGACACGAACUCCACCACUGAUCAAUACCAAAAGACUGAACUCAAUAAAUACCAAUAAUUACCAAAAUACCCCUGGAAGUCAACUGGUCAACUCUUGGUCAAAGUCAAAGUCCUCAGUCAAAGUCAACCCUCCUGGCUGACUCUACUCGCCGAGUCAACUUUCUGACUCGUCGAGUCCCUAUACUUAGAAACUCCCAAUCCACGACUCAACUCGCCGAGUUCAACAAACUCUGAGUCACUUCCUGCUUAACUCACCGAGUCGUCCCUCGACUCACUGAUUCACAGCUCGACCAAAAAGGUUAGGACUUCACGACCAGACUCGCCGAGUCCAAGAACAGACUCGCCGAGUCCAAGGCAAUCUUCAACAGACUCGCCGAGUUGUUCUUCCAACUCGUCGAGUUCCUGCCUAUCUUCAUCCAACUCGUCGAGUUCACCCAUGUGACUCGCCGAGUACCUCAAGUUCUUAAUCCAUACAAUGGCUUUCUAAGCCAUGCAUGGGGCUCCAAACCAUAGAUCCACUCCCCUACAACCCAUCCAUCACGUAAAGUGGCAAACUUUACGUGAAUCCAAAGAGAUCUAAGCAUAAUACACUCUUGGGCUAAGGUUUGGGACAAAAGAACUUCACCAACAACUCUUGGGCAUAGACUUUAUGGCUUCUUUGAUCAUUAACAGCCUAGAUCUGAGGUAGCAACCUCACAUCUUACACCAAACUCGAGAUGGACCUCAUUUAUGCCUCAAAAACCCCACAAUUGAUAGAUCUAGAUGCACAAAAGCUCAAACAACAGAUUAUUACCUUAAAUGAAAGCUCCAACUGAAGAGUAAGCUAAAUCUCUACAAAGCCCCUUGCUCCAAUCUUCUUUCUCUUCAAUUUUUUUCCAAGAUUCCCUCCUCAAAGGCUCUAAUCUCUCACAAAGGAAAGCUCACACGAAUCUAGGGCUUCUGGAACUCAAAGGGAAGGUAUAGAGGCUGGGGAGAGGGUAUCAUGUUCUUUAUAUAGGGCUCAACCCCCGGGAUUAGGGUUUUCUCCAUACAAUUCUAACUCGCCGAGUCCACCCAUGCAACUCGCCGAGUUGGUCACUUAACACGUGACCCGAAACGCGACUCGACUCGCUGAGUCUAUCCAUCGACUCGCCGAGUCGACCUUCUUAUUUACCCUUUUAGCCCUUCAACUAUACUUCUGAAUUUCCGGGAUGUUACAAUUCUCCCCCCACUUAAAUUAGGCUUCGUCCUCGAAGCCUACUGCAACACAUCCCAGAUGAAUACUCCCACAAUACAACUCUUGGCCUCAACCAACCCAUGUUCCUCCAAACACUACUAUCAAACCCUUAUAAAGUCCGACUCUUUCAUUCCAUGCUGACAGGAUGACACAUCCUUCAGUUUCUGAGCAUCUCCCAUGAUCUCUCCUCUGCAAUCACAUACACAUGCUACACCCGCUCUAACAUCCUCAGCUAGAAAAACCCGACACACUAACGAUACCUCUAAACGUCCCCCAGGAUGAAUUAACACUACAUACAUAACUUCCUGAUCACAACCAUACUGGAAAAUCCAAGGCUCCAUCCUUGCAUCCCCUCCGAACUCUUCUGGUUCUACACUACCAAAAAUCCUUCCGCAACCUCAACAAACACCCAACCCAGAUGUGUUCCCAUACCACUGGUACCAUCCUAGUACUUACUACCAAUAGCUAAAGUACUGCUGAUAAUCCAUUUACUCCACUUCCUCCUCUUAUGGAGUACUCACGCUCCUUUCGGAGCUACAUGUCUUUCCUUUCCAGGAAAUCCCUCAACAACCCUUACUGCACCUGCACGUGCCACUGAGCUAAACUUCACUCUACGUUAUCCAUGUAGAGCAACUGCUAUUCUUGAACUUCCAUAAACUCUGAAUCUGCUUGCAAGGAUUCUCAGGUCCAUGCACUGCCUUCCACUAACAUGAUUAAUACUUGGGGACAGACCAUAUCAAUCAUCAUCCUAUGGUGACACCUUUUCUCACUCUCCUCGAACCGAUCCACUAACACAUACAGCUAAUCAACCUCAAAUACUUGUCGAUCCUCCGGAGAAUUUUCCAAUUCUCCCCACUUAGAGAACUGACUACCAACCACCGGUGACCCAACCGACAUCACUCAAACAUUCUUACUCAACAACUUCUCUUAUACUUGCACUGAUUCUAAACGAGCAACCUCCCCAAAACCAUGUUCCAGCAUCGCACAACUCGAACUCUAAGGGAGUUUGACUCCCCGCUGAACACUUCUCAAAACACAAUUGAUAUACUCGACAACUUAACCAUACCACCAAAUGCUGACCAUCAAUUCCUUGGAUGCUAACUGAUUCCAAUCCCCUAACUACCGACCCCUCAAUAAUACCAUAAACCCGAAAGACCGUAUGAAUACCAUACCAUGAAUUAUGCAAAUGAGACUAGCAGAUAUAAUACUCCAUAACAACCAUAAGAUAACAAGAUAUCAAGAAGGAAACAUACCCACAGCUGAAUCCGGCUCUGCCCUGACCUGCUCUGCCAUAAGCUGAAAAGCACGCCCCUGAGCCCUCGGGGGCUCUGCUCCACUCUGACCUCCACCCGUGAUCCUCAAAGUGGUCUGUGCUGGAGCCUGCACCGGUCCUGCAACAAGUUGUGGACAGUUGGCCCUCAGGUGACCAACCUGAUGGCACUGGUAACAAAUCCUCAUAUCCUGAACUGGGGCUGACUGAUGGAAAUCCCUCACAUAAUGCCCCUCUCUCCCGCACUUGCGACAUGUACCCCCGGACCUACAAACUCCGAUGUGACCCUUCCCGCACUUCCCACAAGUGCGGCUUCUCUAAUCUCCCAAACUAGAAUCAACGGUCUUGGACCGUUUCGGCGCCGGCUGCGACUGCACCGGGACCUGCCUCUGCUCUCUCAACUAAAGCUCAAUCUCCAACUCACGCCGCCAAGCAGCCUCCUGCAACUCCAGUAAGGUCUCGCACCUCUGCAUAGACACAAACUGCCUGAUAUCCCUCUUGAGCAUACUCAGAUAUCGGGACAUCUGAGCCUGCUCCGAAGCAAACUCUGGGCAAAACAUCGCCCUCUCAGUGAACAUCCUGGUGAUCUCCGUCACCGACUCUGAAUCCUACUUCAGCUCCAGGAACUCCUGAGCUAACCUCUCUUUCUCUCAACUCGUGGAACAUAAUGGGUGCUGAACAUCUCCCGAAACUGAUCCCAAGAAACCGCAGCUCGCUGCGCAUCCGAAUAUGACCCCGUAGUCAACCUCCACCAAUCCUUCGCCCCGAGCCUUAACAGGUUUAGAGCACACCUCACCCUCUGAUCAGCAAGGCAUGAACAUGUGAAGAAAAACCCCUCCACAUCUAACAACCAUCGCAUAGCAACAAUCGGAUCCUGAACUCCAUCAAAAGUAGGGGGCUUCGUAUUAUCGAAAUCCCGAUACUGAAAACCUCUACAAGCUCCUCCCCCUGCUGUCGCUACAGCCGUUGUAGCCGCCGCGGCAACCGUCUCUCUAAGAGCUGCAUAACGCUCAUCAAAAUACUCGACCAUGGCGGUCUUAAUCGACCCAAGCAGUUCCGACAACUUGGCUCGGAACAUAGCAGCAACCUCAUCAUGCAGGAUCUCACGAAUCCUAGCAUCCAACUCGUUUGUGCUCAUCUGACCGAUAACCUCGUGUGGUGCUGAUCCACCCUGACCGCCCCCUCCUGCUCCCGAUCCUGACCUGGAUCCGCUCCCAGCAUGCCUCAUAACCACCAUACUGAAAUUCACAGCCAGAAAAUAAGAUGCUUCCCCAAUAGCCCGGGAACCAACUCCCAAUCUGACCCUAGGGGUUGUGACUUCCUUGAUACGCGUAUGGGUCCUGUACUUUUAGUAGUACGGGCCCAUACUACCUUCCGCACCUACCCAUAUUUAUAUCAAGUAUCACCACAACACCCUAGUGAAGAACAUGCAUAACAAGCACUCAACCCUCACUCUUAGAGGAACACUGGAAAUCUCAUACAGAAAGAAACCCUAGGCUAGCAUGCAUCACAAUCAGGCAACUCUAUCAUGCACUUCCUGAAGAUCCCUAGUCUAACACUGGCAUGCUGUUCUAACAUAUCACAUAAUCAAAUAACUUGUAUGGUAUUUUGGGGAUACUUACUGGCUCCGGCUGAUCGUACCUCCGUGCCCUCCUUUACUCAUUUUUGAAAACCAUUUUAAAUUCUCUUUUGAAAACUCUCCUUGAUUUGAGACUGGAUUCACACGAAUGUUCCUCCAAAUCACUCAAACUAAGGCUCUGAUACCAACUUGUAACGCUCUAAAAAUUUCAACCAAUUUAAACUUUUCAAAACACAACCCACAUUCAUUAAGUUAUUCUAAAAAGGUUUUCAAUACUUUAUAUUAUCAGAGAAUUCCCUAGAACAAUAUCAUAAAACAUAAACAUGAGGAGCAGUACGAUCACGCCUUUGCCUUGCCACGGUCUCCUGAAGAACCUGAAACAUUAAACCACAACUGUAAGCCCGAAUGCUUAGUGAGAUACCCCUAAAAUACCAACCACAUAUACCCUACACAUAGCAUAUCAUAACAUAACAGAACAUAGAACAGCCAUGCACUUCGGGUCUACUGUGUGACUGGUCCGCCGCACCGGCCUACAGUCCACCUGGUCCACUCUCCGAGUCUAGCCAUAUACAUCAAGUCUACAGUGUGAUUGGUCCGCCCGCACCGGGCCUUCAAUCCACCUGGUCCACUCUCUGAGUCUAC